AUUGAACGCUAGCGGGAUGCCUUACACAUGCAAGUCGAACGGAGUGGCGAACGGGUGAGUAAUGUAUCGGAACGUGCCCCGUAGCGGGGGAUAACUACGCGAAAGCGUAGCUAAUACCGCAUACUAUUGGAGCGGCCGUUAUCGGAUUAGCUAGUUGGUGGGGUCACGGCUCACCAAGGCGAGGAUCCGUAGCGGGUUUGAGAGGACGGCCAGCCACACGGGAACUGGGACACGGCCCAGACUCCUACGGGGGGAAGCAGUGGGGAAUUUUGGACAAGGGGGGAAACCCUGAUCCAGCCAUCCCGCUUGGGCGAUGAAGGCCUUCGGGUGUUAAAGCACUUUUGGCAGGAAGGCGGUACCUGCAGAAUAAGCACCGGCUAACUACGUGCCAGCAGCCGCGGUAAUUC
rnacentral:rRNA from 1 species